GCCACAUAACAGGUAAAGCAACAUGUUGGACGUGUGGUUGCUAAGCAGCCAAAACAGCAAAUGCUUAACUUCCAGUAAAUGGCCCCACAUUACACUGUGGGACCUAAAGGUUUAUAAUGACCCAGCUGAGCGUUGUUUGAUCGGUCAUGGAAAUCAGCCACGGAGCUUCUGGGCCGGUCGCGACAGGCUUCACAUCCAUUAUGUGCAGUGACGAUGCUGAAUGUCUGGCAGAGCGCUUGGUGGGACUUGUGCGUGUUGCACCACAGCUUCCUUCAUGCAUUAUACUAAUUGGCCGUGUGUUCCUGAACCUCCUGGGGUGCACGCUUUAACCAAAGCCCGGCCGUGGAUGCGCAGCAUCAUUAUCUAGACAAAGUGUUUCCUCCCACUGCUGCACCUUAAUGAAGCCGCGUGAGCAAAUCCUCUGGAUCUACCUGAGUUUCUCCAUAAAUUAUAUGAUGUAUGAUAUUAAAGCAGAGUGAAAGGUGA